ACUCCUACGGGAGGCAGCAGUGGGGAAUAUUGCACAAUGGGCGAAAGCCUGAUCCAGCAAUGCCGCGUGUGUGAAGAAGGCCUUCGGGUUGUAAAGCACUUUUGUCCGGAAAGAAAUCCUUGGCUCUAAUACAGCCGGGGGAUGACGGUACCGGAAGAAUAAGCACCGGCUAACUACGUGCCAGCAGCCGCGGUAAUACGUAGGGUGCAAGCGUUAAUCGGAAUUACUGGGCGUAAAGCGUGCGCAGGCGGUUUGCUAAGACCGAUGUGAAAUCCCCGGGCUCAACCUGGGAACUGCAUUGGUGACUGGCAGGCUAGAGUAUGGCAGAGGGGGUAGAAUUCCACGUGUAGCAGUGAAAUGCGUAGAGAUGUGGAGGAAUACCGAUGGCGAAGGCAGCCCCUGGGUCAAUACUGACGCUCAUGCACGAAAGCGUGGGGAGCAAACAGGAUUAGAUACCCUGGUAGACAUCA
rnacentral:rRNA from 1 species